rnacentral:rRNA from 1 species
UACGGAGGGUGCAAGCGUUGUUCGGAAUCACUGGGCGUAAAGCGCGUGCAGGCGGCCGGGGAAGUCGGGUGUGAAAGCCCGCCGCUUAACGGAAGAAGUGCAUUUGAAACUACCCGGCUAGAGUUCGAGAGAGGAGGGCGGAAUUCCCGGUGUAGAGGUGAAAUUCGUAGAUAUCGGGAGGAACACCGGCGGCGAAGGCGGCUCUCUGGCCCGAUACUGACGCUGAGACGCGAAAGCGUGGGGAGCAAACAGG